UACCUGGUUGAUUCUGCCAGUAGUCAUAUGCUUGUCUCAAAGAUUAAGCCAUGCAUGUCUAAGUAUAAGCAAUUAUACCGCGAAACUGCGAAUGGCUCAUUAUAUAAGUUAUCGUUUAUUUGAUAGCACAUUACUACAUGGAUAACUGUGGUAAUUCUAGAGCUAAUACAUGCUAAAAAUCCCGACUUCGGAAGGGAUGUAUUUAUUAGAUUAAAAGCCAACGCCCUUCGGGGCUUCCUGGUGAUUCAUAAUAACUUUUCGAAUCGCAUGGCCUUGC
rnacentral:rRNA from 1 species